GGGGAUUUAGCUCAGUGGUAGAGCGUUUGCUUAGCAAGCGCAAGGCCCUGGGUUCAAUCCCCAGCUCCA
rfam:Rattus norvegicus chromosome 10, whole genome shotgun sequence.